UGGGGAAUAUUGGACAAUGGGGGGAACCCUGAUCCAGCCAUGCCGCGUGUGUGAAGAAGGCCUUAUGGUUGUAAAGCACUUUAAGCGAGGAGGAGGGUACUGGUAUUAAUACUACCAGCUACUGGACGUUACUCGCAGAAUAAGCACCGGCUAACUCUGUGCCAGCAGCCGCGGUAAUACAGAGGGUGCAAGCGUUAAUCGGAAUUACUGGGCGUAAAGCGCGCGUAGGUGGUUCGUUAAGUUGAAUGUGAAAGCCCCGGGCUCAACCUGGGAACUGCAUCCAAAACUGGCGAGCUAGAGUAGGGCAGAGGGUGGUGGAAUUUCCUGUGUAGCGGUGAAAUGCGUAGAUAUAGGAAGGAGCACCAGUGGCGAAGGCGACCACCUGGGCUCAUACUGACACUGAGGUGCGAAAGCGUGGGGAGCAAACAGG
rnacentral:rRNA from 1 species